GGAUUAAUUUUCUUAAUUACGAUAUUUUGCAAGAAUCGAUAUUAUUAUCUUUAAAGCAAAAUUAGGAAUGCCUUUGUUCUUCAGAUAUGGCGAUAUCUGGACAGUCCUAAGUCCGGGUCUGUUUUAGUAAACAUUAUUAAUUUGUUCCCUUAACCAUAAACCUCUAGGGGCUCGGAAUACCCACCUUUCUGGUAAUGCAGCCCAGCGGGUCCCAGCCUCGUUUUCCAGCCCUCACUCAAAAUGGAGUCGCUCUGGUUCGAACGCCUCUGACAAGUGUGUACCUACGUGUCAGGCCCGUCCUUCCUGCAGGCCUUUGUCUUGGUGUCACCCUGCCUGAGCUGGCCCCAACCACAGUAGCGACAGUGAUGCUGAUGUGUGACUGCUGCCCGGAGCCUGCUCACAUGACUGUGUGGAGAAAGUUCUUUCCCUGAGGACCAUCUGGAGUGGACGCGUGCACUACCCCUCUCUGAAUACACCCUCCCCACGAGGCCCUCUGGAGCAUCCUGUAGAGCCAGCUCUUACCCAGAGACCCUGAGCCCAGAGAAUGUGCUGGGUGGUGAGCCUGGGGACGAAUGCAGAGCCCUAGAUCUCCUCUCCAGAAGUUGGAGUGCCGUGGUGUGGUCAUAGCCCACUGAAGCCUCAAACCUCUGGGCUGAAGCCAUCCUUCCGCCUCAGCCUCCCAAGUAGCUGGGACCAUAGGUGCAUGGCACUGUGCCUGGCAC
rnacentral:lncRNA from 1 species